CAGGAUUUUCCCCAGGAAGGGUUCUUUAUGGUUGGCUAUCAUCGAACAUGGAUCCGUAUCGCUGCCUUGGGGACAAAAAGUAUGAUGCUACAGCAGCAUGCCUUUUUUCGCACAAGCUUCGUAUCAAGAGGUAACAUCUUAAGAUUUAUUGGUCAUGUCGUGUUUUCAACCAAAUUGUACUAGGAGUUAAGGUACUUUUGCUAUGUCAGUGUGGCCAUCCAUAUGAAAGAUCUGAUGGUUCAUGAGA